rnacentral:rRNA from 1 species
UACGAGGGGCGAGCGUUAUUCGGAAUUAUUGGGCGUAAAGGGCGCGUAGGCGGCUUGUACAAGUCAAAACGGUGGAAAUCCCUCGGCUCAACUGAGGAACUGCCUUUGAAACUGUACGGCUUGAGGCCGGGAGGGGGUUAGCGGAAUUACCCAAUGUAGCGGUGAAAUGACGUAGAUAUUAGGGAGGAACACCAGUGGCGGAAGGCGGCUACCUGGACCGGUUCGUGACGCUGAGGCGGCGAAAAGCGGUUGGGUAACGCAAACGAGG